rnacentral:lncRNA from 10 species
ACAGCUUCUUGGUUUGUUUAGUGCAACACAGAAUUGUGAAAAGCUCACAGGCUUUGAAAGCAGAGAUACCCAGGCCCAAGUCUACCACUGACUGUCACGUCUUAACUGUGUGGUUCUUAGCAUGUCACUUUUAAUGUCAAAGUCUUAUUUACCUCCUCCAUAAAUUGGACAUUCUCAUAUCAUGGGUGUGUGUUCUUUUUUGUUGUGAUAAGUGAUUGGCACAGGUUUGUCACAUGGUGACAUGUUUAAUAAGUAGUAGGUUUUAUAAUGUUUUCAGGCUUAAUAAAGGCAUUUGGUUUAUUAAUCAAAGAUUAAUGAACAAUGCUGUCACUUUUUGGUUUAUUCUACAACAAAAAUAAGCUAACAACUUUUCUUUCUUUCUUUCUCUUCUUUCUCUUUCUUUUUUUUUUUUUUUUUUUUUUUUAACAACUUCUUGGUGUUGGAGAAAAACAAAUACACAAA